UAGGUCUCGUUGGUGACCAGCGGAGGGAUCAUUACUGAGUUACCGCUCUAUAACCCUUUGUGAACGUACCUAACCGUUGCUUCGGCGGGCAGGGGAAGCCUCUCGCGGGCCUCCCCUCCCGGCGCCGGCCCCCACCACGGGGACGGGGCGCCCGCCGGAGGAAACCAAACUCUAUUUACACGACGUCUCUUCUGAGUGGCACAAGCAAAUAAUUAAAACUUUUAACAACGGAUCUCUUGGUUCUGGCAUCGAUGAAGAACGCAGCGAAAUGCGAUAAGUAAUGUGAAUUGCAGAAUUCAGUGAAUCAUCGAAUCUUUGAACGCACAUUGCGCUCGCCAGCAUUCUGGCGAGCAUGCCUGUUCGAGCGUCAUUUCAACCCUCAAGCACCGCUUGGUUUUGGGGCCCCACGGCCGACGUGGGCCCUUAAAGGUAGUGGCGGACCCUCCCGGAGCCUCCUUUGCGUAGUAACUAACGUCUCGCACUGGGAUCCGGAGGGACUCUUGCC
rnacentral:rRNA from 1 species